rnacentral:rRNA from 1 species
AUUGAACGCUGGCGGCAGGCCUAACACAUGCAAGUCGAACGGUAACAGGAAACAGCUUGCUGUUUCGCUGACGAGUGGCGGACGGGUGAGUAAUGUCUGGGAAACUGCCUGAUGGAGGGGGAUAACUACUGGAAACGGUAGCUAAUACCGCAUAACGUCGCAAGACCAAAGAGGGGGACCCUCGGGCCUCUUGCCAUCGGAUGUGCCCAGAUGGGAUUAGCUUGUUGGUGGGGUAACGGCUCACCAAGGCGACGAUCCCUAGCUGGUCUGAGAGGAUGACCAGCCACACUGGAACGGAGACACGGACCAGAGUCCUACGGGAGGCAGCAGUGGGGAAUAUUGCACAAUGGGCGCAAGCCUGAUGCAGCCAUGCCGCGUGUAUGAAGAAGGCCUUCGGGUUGUAAAGUACUUUCAGCGGGGAGGAAGGGAGUAAAGUUAAUACCUUUGCUCAUUGACGUUACCCGCAGAAGAAGCACAGGCGAAAACCGUG